UAAUGGUUGACCUCGGAUCAGGUAGGACUACCCGCUGAACUUAAGCAUAU
rnacentral:rRNA from 1 species